CAGGGCCACCUCACCAUUUACCCUGCCCACCGUGCUUGAGAAACACAACACUGAGUUCCACAAAGCCAUUCUGGGGUCUUAGGUCUACAGAUAGCUUUUGGUAAAUUCAACAGUUUUAUGAGAGUAACUCUUCCUGUAUUUGAACAGGACUUGUGGUUCAGGUCUUUUAGAAUGCUUUUCAUCAGCAAAGUUCCAUAGUUUUUCAUGAUAGGUCCUAUACAACUUUUGUUAGAUCUGUCCAAGAAUACCGCAGAACUUUUGGCGCUAUUAUAAAUCCUGGCUUUAUGUAAACUACUGUUUCUAAUUAUAGAUGGUUAGAGAAAAAUGAGGAAGUUCUGUACUGAUCUCACACAGCCAGCCCUUGCUAGAUCCCUGUUUACAUUUACUAUGCAGACAACUGGGCCACCCAUGGAGAUACGAACGGACCGCGGAUUAGGAACACUGGCAGAUGUGAACAAAUCGUGGAAGUGCUGUACCACCAUUCUAAGGCAGGAAAACACCUUUGUGACGUGGCAGUAUGCAGCUUCCCGUGGAGAGGACUCAUGGCUACUACUCGAUGGCUCUAGCAGUUUCCCACCACUCAGCCUUGUUAUUUUCCCUUGGGUUGAUUUAUUUUGUACAUGAUUCCAC
rnacentral:lncRNA from 1 species